rnacentral:lncRNA from 10 species
UCACUGCAGCCUCAACCUCCCCAGGCUCAGCUGAUCAUCCCACCUCAGUCUCCCGAGUAGUUGGGACCUGCCACCAUGCCCAGCUAACUUUUGUAUUUUUUGGAGAGACAGGGUUUCGCCAUGUUGCCCAGGCUGGCCUCCAACUCCUGACCUCAACUGAUCCACCUGCCUUGGCCUCCCCAAGUAUUAGUAUUACAGGUAUGAACCACCAUGCUCGGCCAUAUUCACUAUUUUGAAUUUCAGUUAUUUAUGUUCCUGAGAAAAAGAGGCAAGAAGAAACAAAGGAUAGAUGGUACAGAUAGAUAACAAAUAACAAGACCAAAAGUUAAACCAGGCUAUAUCAGUAAUCACAUUAAAUAUAAAUGGUCUAAAUACUCCAAUUAAAGGCCAGGCGUAGUGGCUCAUGCCUGUAAUCCCAGCACUCUAGGAGGCCAAGGAGGGCAGAUCAGUUGAGGUCAGGAGUUCAAGAUCAGCCUGGCCAACAUGGUGAAACCCUCUCUCUACUAAAAAUACAAAAAUUAGUCAGGCGUGGUGGGGUGCACCUGUAAUCCCAGCUACUUGGGAUGCUGAGGCAGGAGACUCACUUGAACCCAGGAGGCGGAGGUUGCAGUAAGCCAAGAUCAUACCACUGCACUCCAGCCUGGGUGACGGAGUGAGACUCAGUCUCAAAAUACAUACAUACAUACAUACAUACAUACUCCAAUUAAAAAGCAUAAUUUGUCAGAUUAGAUUAUAAAAGCAAUAUCUAACUGUAUACUGCCUAAAAGAAAUCCUUUUAAAUAUAGACAAAAAUAGGUUAAAGCUAAAGGGAUAGAAAAAAUGUACCAUGCUAAUGCUAAUCAAAAUAAAGUUGGAAUCGCUAUACUAAUACUAAUAAUGUAGAUUUCAGAGCAAAGAAUAUUGCCCGGGAUAAAAAAGAAUCAUUUCAUAAUGAUAAAGAGGUCAAUUCAUCAAGAAGACAUAAUAACUCUAAACACUUAUGUACCCAAUAACAGAGAUUCAAAGUACGUGAAGCAGCUUUGCACAAUGGCAAGUAUCAUAGCCAAUGAGGUUUAUCUGAGGCAUGACUAUUGCUAAUUGAAAAAUUUUCCCAAUACCCCACUGUGAUGACUUGCAACAUAGUCAGCACUGACAAUUUUUGACAGUCUAUACAAAGACUGAAUUUGAAAAAAAACAAAAAAAAACAAAAAAACAGCUGGGCUAGUCAUAGUGGCUCACACCUAUAAUCUCAGCACUUUUGGGAGGCCAAGGUGGGUGGAUCACGUGAGCCCAGCAGUGCAAGACCAGCCUGGGCAACAUGGUGAAACCCUGUCUCUACUAAAAAUACAAAAAUUAGACAGGCGUAGUGGCAUGUACCUGCAGUUGCAGCUACUCAGGAGGUGGAGGCUGAGGCAUGAGAAUCGCUUGAACCCAGGAGGUGGAGGUUGUGGUGAGCUGAGAUCAUGCCACUGCACUCCAGCUUGGGCAACAGAGUGAGACUCAGUUUCAGAAAAAAAUAAAAAUACAAAUACAAAAAAUUAGCUGGGCAUGGUGGCUCACACCUGUAGUCCCAGCUACCUGGGAGGAUCACCUGAGCCUGGGGAGGUGAAAGCUGCAGUAAGCCAUGAUUGCGCCACUGCACUCCAGCCUGGGUGACAGAGUAAGACUCUCUCUUUAUCUCUCUCUCUCUCUCUCUCUGUGUAUGUAUAUAUGUUUGUGUGUAUAUAUGUGUGUGUGUGUGUGUGUGUGUGUGUGUGUGUGUGUAUAUAUAUAUCAUGAAGCAAAAACCAAUAGAACUACAAGGAUAAAUUGACAAAUCCACAAGGAUAAUCAGUAAUAUCCAUACCCAUACCUUAAUAGUUGAUAGAACAAAUAGAAAAUCAGUAAAGAUGUAAAAGAUUUGACCGACAGUAUCAACUAAUUUGACUAAUUGAUUAUAGAACAUUCCAUCCAACAGCAGAAUUUUUUUCAAGAACAUUGCACAUGGAACAUUUACCAAGAUAGCCAUAAAAUAAGUAGUGAUCAAUUUUAAAAGAAUCAGAUUAUAUAAAAUAUAUUCCCUGGCUGCAAUGGUAUUAAAGUAAAUACCAAUAAUAGAAAGAUAUCUAGAAAAUCUCCAAAUAAAAUACCAGAGACUGGAAAGGGUGGAGGGGAAGGAAAGGAUGAAGACAGGUUGAUUAUGUAUACAAACAUAUAGUUAGAUAGAAGAAAUAAGUUCUAAUGUUUGAUAGCAGACUUGGGUGACUAUACUUAGCAACAAUUUUAUGUAUAUUUCAAAGUAACUAGAGGAGAGGACUUGAAAUGAUACCAGAACUUAAAAAUGAUAAACACUCAUUACCAAGGUGAUGGGGGAUAGAAAUCUGACAUCAAGGUGUUGGCAGGGCCAUGCUUUCUCUGAAGGAUCUAGGAGAGAGUCCUUCCUUGCUUCUUCUAGCUCCUGGUGUUUUCUGACAGUCCAGGGCAUUCCUUGGUUUGUAAAUUAAUCACUCCUUUCUCUGCCUCCAUUGUCAUUUGGCUGGAUUCUCUCUCUGGAUCUCUGCGUCAUCUUCCCACCCUGUGUGUCUAUGUCCAAAUUUCCCUCUUCUUAAAAGACACCAACCAUAUUGGAUUAAGGGCCCAUCUCACUCCAUUACCUCAUCUUAAUGAAUUGCAUCUGCAAAGACCUCUAUUUCCAAACAAAGUCACAGUCACAGGUACCAGGGGUUAGGACUUCAAUGUAUCUCUUGGAAGGAGGGGUCAAUUCAAUCCAUAACACUAGCAAUGAACACUCAAAAGAUUAAAUUUAAAACACCAUUUACAG